CAGAAGCAGAGAAAAGGGGCGACCCCCAUAUCCAAAACCCUAACAUCACCAUUUCUUGCAAAUUGAAGGCUCAAAUCCUAACCAAAACAAAAUCCGAGCUUAGAAUCGUGUUCCUCAUCGCGAGAGGGUCUAGAGGCAAAGAGUCCGGUUCCUCUAGCGGACAAGCCGAGGGGAAAUCACGAGGAAAAGGCGCGCUCUAAAGGUACCAAGAAAAAGGAUGAAGAUCAAGCAAGUGAAUAGAACCGAACACACACAUUUUAAGAACGCUUCCGCAUCCAAACUUUGUGUUAGAAACUAUGUAAAUUAAUGGUAGUUACUGUCUUGUAUGUGGUUUGUAACAACAAUACAUGAAGGUUGUGUUAAUUUUGGGUUAAACUAUGAAAGUUUUUGUAAAGUCGUCAUUUUGGCGUUAA